GACGAACGCUGGCGGCGUGCUUAACACAUGCAAGUCGAACGCCCCGCAAGGGGAGUGGCAGACGGGUGAGUAACACGUGGGAACGUACCCUUUGGUUCGGAAUAACUUGGGGAAACUCAAGCUAAUACCGGAUAAGCCCUUAUGGGGAAAGGUUUACUGCCGAAGGAUCGGCCCGCGUCUGAUUAGCUAGUUGGUGAGGUAAUGGCUCACCAAGGCGACGAUCAGUAGCUGGUCUGAGAGGAUGAUCAGCCACACUGGGACUGAGACACAGCCCAGACUCCUACGGGAGGCAGCAGUGGGGAAUAUUGGACAAUGGGGGCAACCCUGAUCCAGCCAUGCCGCGUGAGUGAUGAAGGCCUUAGGGUUGUAAAGCUCUUUUACCCGGGACGAUAAUGACUGUACCGGGAGAAUAAGCCCCGGCUAACUUCGUGCCAGCAGCCGCGGUAA
rnacentral:rRNA from 1 species